rnacentral:lncRNA from 1 species
AAUUUUAUUUUCUGUCUACUUUCUGGAUGUGCUAACUUCUCUCCAACACCUCCAGCAUCACCCUGGUCCAAGCCACCUUCAGCUCUCACCUAGACUAACACAGUUCUUCCUGUCUCCAUGAGCCUCCUCUCCAGUUGCUGUAUUGCAAAUAACAAUCAAAACAGCAUUUAAAAGCAAAACAACAACAGCAAACAAAUGGUAAACCUUCUACCUCCCCAAGUUUCUAAAGGCACACAUCUCUUUGGGAUUUAAUAUCUAUCCAGGUCUCACUGCAUUGUCCUCACGGCACUUGGGAGCCAGGGGAACUGACACGUGAUGUUCAUACUUACUGCUAUUCUCGGAGUAACAAAAAAAAAAUUCACUUUCUUCGACCAGGAGACAUCAUGUUUUCUACCAGCAUUCUUGAAACUAUG